AAAUAGAUCUUCAUUUAUUUCGAAGAAUGGAUCGACGUUUCAGCUCCUCACAGGAGCUUUCAUCAGGAAAAGCUCCUGUGAGGAGCUGAAACGUCGAUCCAUUCUUCGAAAUAAAUGAAGAUCUAUU